GGUCCAAACUUGUAGUAGGGUAGAUUAGUGGGAUCGACUGACUCUCCUGAACUACUGUACUUCAAGUUUGUGCCC
rnacentral:pre_miRNA from 1 species